GGGGCCGUAGCGCAGCUGGGAGCGCGUUUGACUGGCAGUCAAAAGGUCGGGGGUUCGACUCCCCCCGGCUCCACCA
rnacentral:tRNA from 1 species